rnacentral:rRNA from 1 species
ACUUGUACUGUUCGAUUGAGCUUGCGGCAUGCCUACACAUCCACUCGACGCACCCGGGGCAACCUGGUGGCGAGUGGCGGACCGGGUGAGGUAAUACAUCCGAACUUUCCUGUAGUGGGGGAUAGCCGCGAAAGCCGGAUUAAUACGCAUACCAUCUGUGGAUGAAAGCGGGGAUCUUCGAGACCUCGCGCUACAGGGCGCCGAUGGCAGAUUAGCUAGUUGUGGGGUAAAGGCCCUACCAAGGCGACGAUCUGUAGCUGGUCUGAGAGGACGGACCAGCCACACUGGGGACUGAGACACGGCCCAGACUCCUACGGGAGGCAGCAGUGGGGAAUUUUGGACAAUGGGCGAAAGCCUGAUCCAGCAAUGCCGCGUGUGUGAAGAAGGGCUUCGGGUUGUAAAGCACUUUUGUCCCGGAAAGAAAACCUCGUGGUUAAUACCGUGGGGGAUGACGGUACCGGAAGAAUAAGCACCCGGCUAACUACGUGCCAGCAGCCGCGGUAAUACGUAGGGUGCAAGCGUUAAUCGGAAUUACUGGGCGUAAAGCGUGCGCAGGCGGUCCGCUAAGACAGAUGUGAAAUCCCCGGGCUUAACCUGGGAACUGCAUUUGUGACUGGCGGGCUAGAGUAUGGCAGAGGGGGGUAGAAUUCCACGUGUAGCAGUGAAAUGCGUAGAGAUGUGGAGGAAUACCAAUGGCGAAGGCAGCCCCUGGGAUAAUAUUGACGCUCAUGCACGAAAGCGUGGGGAGCAAACAGG